GUGCUAUGAUCUAAUUUUGUAUUCUUGUCUUUCAUGUUUGUGUAUGUUCUUUGUCUAAUUGUCAUUUUGUAUUUUUCUAGUUUGAAAUACCUUUUUUUAAAUUGUGAGUAAGAUUAUAACAUAAUGUUGACUUGUAUUUUUUUAGUUUACCUAUUUUUGACUGUUUGAUUUGUUCACACAAUGGACUUUUAUGCGACUGUUAUACAAGUGAAGUGAGAAAAUAAGCCAGCUAUAAACCAUUUUCUUCAUAAAGAAAUGCCUGUUCUCAAGUCAAAAUUAUGACAGUAGUUUGGAUAUUUCUUUCAACUGACGGUGCAUAGAUUAAUGUGAAAAACACCAG
rnacentral:lncRNA from 1 species